AUGUCUUUCUCAUGUGCACGCAGUUAUAUUUUAACCCUCCAGUCUAUCUUUGGUAAGUUACUUGCUUGUUGCAGAAGGCCUAGUGGUUUUGUAUUUUAACUGGAAGAAAUGUCUAUUGAAUGUGUGUUGAAUUUGGAAAUCUGAUUUGGCUCAAUUAAAAUGUGAUUAAGCUUUCUGUCUCCAUUGUAGAAGCUGUUAGUGCUCUGGAGAAACAUUAAAUGUUGAAGGCUGGCCUGCUGGUUUUGGCUGAAAUAGAGAGAAAUAUGCAACGCUCUGAGAAAUUCCAGGACUCCCACUAGGUAAAAAUAAAGAAAGCUUUACUUGAGGUUUGUGGUGCACCUGUUCUCUGCUCUGAAGCUGGCUGACAGCAUAGCUGAAAUCUCACAGCAGACAUUUCCUGGCUUUGGUACAGUGUUUUCGAGCAAGCUGCUAAAAGUGGUCUAGCAAGUUGUUAUUUCAGGAAUCAUUUUCAACUGAAGGAACAAUGUGAUUUGCAUAAAGAACCAAGAAACUCUUCUUUUGUUGCCCUCUGGUCUAAAGAUGUCAUUAAUAUAGUAAGUCUGUAGUAAGAUGAGCUGGUUAUUUCCAAUGGAGUCAGAGUAUGUUUAGUAUUUUUUGACUCUGUGAUGUGCUGAGUCUCCUAGACCCUUAUUCUAGGAUGCAUGUUUCAAGACCAUUUCAUGAGUCUUCACAGUGACCUGAUGUACUGUUUCUUCAUGAGAAACUUGGGAAGCAGAGGUGGCAUAUUUCAUAUUGUGGGCCUCCCAGCAUCAUCUCCACGUGGUCCCAUAUGCUCAUUCCUGUUGUACCAAGAACUUACCGAGUUUGUACGUCUUUCCUCAUGAAUCAGAUAAAUGCAUCUCCUCCACGAGCUGCCUAUUUUCUUGUAUACUGUGCAUCACUUCCCCUGCAGAUUG